UAUUAAAAUUUUUAUAUAUUUCUACCAUUAAAAAUUGGCUUGACUGACAAAAAAAUCAGAUAGUCACACAUAACAUGUCGCAUGUAACUUAUGCUGAGAUAUAAAGAUCGGGUUUUAAUAAUAAAACUGGAUGACAUUUUAACA
rnacentral:pre_miRNA from 1 species